rnacentral:rRNA from 1 species
GAUGAACGCUGGCGGCGUGCCUUAAGCAUGCAAGUCGAAUGGUCGCAAGACAAUGGCAGACGGGUGAGUAAUAUAUAGGAAUCUACCCUUCAAUGGACCAUAGCUCAUCGAAAGAUGGGGUAAUAGUCCAUAGCCUCGUAAGAGUAAAGAUCUUAACUGAUCGUUGAAGGAGGAGCCUAUAUCCUAUCAGCUAGUUGGCGGGGUAAAAGCCCACCAAGGCAAUGACGGGUAGCUGGACUGAGAGGUCGGUCAGCCACAACUGCACUGAGACACGGGCAGUACACCUACGGGUGGCAGCAACUGGGAAUAUUGCGCAAUGGACGAAAGUCUGACGCAGCGACGCCGCGUGGAGGAUGACAGCCUUAGGGUUGUAAACUCCUUUUGAUCCCGCAUUCACGCGGGAUAGAAUAAGCACUUACUAACUACGUGCCAGCCGCCGCCGUAACAC